rnacentral:rRNA from 1 species
GAUGAACGCUGGCGGCGUGCCUAAUACAUGCAAGUCGAGCGAACAGAUGAGAGCUUGCUCCUCUGACGUUAGCGGCGGACGGGUGAGUAACACGUGGAUAACCUACCUAUAAGACUGGGAUAACUUCGGGAAACCGGAGCUAAUACCGGAUAAUAUAUUUAACCGCAUGGUUCAAUAGUGAAAGACGGUUUUGCUGUCACUUAUAGAUGGAUCCGCGCCGCAUUAGCUAGUUGGUAAGGUAACGGCUUACCAAGGCAACGAGUCAUAGCCGACCUGCGAGGGUGAUCCGCCACGCUGGAUCUGGGACACGGGUCAGACUCCUACGGGAGGCAGGAGUAGGGAAUCUUCCGCAAUGGGCGAAAGCCUGACGGAGCAACGACGCGUGAAUGAUGAAGGUCCUCGGAUCUUAAAACUCUGUUAUUAGGGAAGAACAAAUGUGUAAGUAACUAUGCACGUCUUGACGGUACCUAAUCAGAGAGCCACGGCUAACUACGUG